rnacentral:tRNA from 3 species
GGAGCGGUAGUUCAGUUGGUUAGAAUGCCGCCCUGUCACGGCGGAGGUCGCGGGUUCGAGUCCCGUCCGCUCCGCCA